GACGUAGGGGGCGAGCGUUGUCCGGAAUUACUGGGCGUAAAGAGCACGUAGGCGGAGAUUUAAGUCAGGUGUGAAAGAUCGGGGCUCAACCCCGAAAUUGCAUUUGAAACUGGGUCCCUUGAGGGCAGGAGAGGAAAGCAGAAUUCCUGGUGUAGCGGUGAAAUGCGUAGAAAUCAGGAGGAAUACCAGUGGCGAAGGCGGCUUUCUGGACUGACCCUGACGCUGAGGUGCGAAAGCGUGGGUAGCAAAC
rnacentral:rRNA from 1 species